GAGGCCUAACACAUGCAAGCCGAGCGGUAGAGAUUCUUCGGAAUCUUGAGAGCGGCGCACGGGUGCGGAACACGUGUGCAACCUGCCUUUAUCUGGGGGAUAGCCUUUCGAAAGGAAGAUUAAUACCCCAUAAUAUAUUGACUGGCAUCAGUUGAUAUUGAAAACUCCGGUGGAUAGAGAUGGGCACGCGCAGGAUUAGAUAGUUGGUGAGGUAACGGCUCACCAAGUCAACGAUCCUUAGGGGGCCUGAGAGGGUGAUCCCCCACACUGGUACUGAGACACGGACCAGACUCCUACGGGAGGCAGCAGUGAGGAAUAUUGGACAAUGGGUGAGAGCCUGAUCCAGCCAUCCCGCGUGAAGGACGACGGCCCUAUGGGUUGUAAACUUCUUUUGUAUAGGGAUAAACCUACCCUCGUGAGGGUAGCUGAAGGUACUAUACGAAUAAGCACCGGCUAACUCCGUGCCAGCAGCCGCGGUAAUACGGAGGGUGCAAGCGUUAUCCGGAUUUAUUGGGUUUAAAGGGUCCGUAGGCGGAUCUGUAAGUCAGUGGUGAAAUCUCACAGCUUAACUGUGAAACUGCCAUUGAUACUGCAGGUCUUGAGUGUUGUUGAAGUAGCUGGAAUAAGUAGUGUAGCGGUGAAAUGCAUAGAUAUUACUUAGAACACCAAUUGCGAAGGCAGGUUACUAAGCAACAACUGACGCUGAUGGACGAAAGCGUGGGGAGCGAACAGGAUUAGAUACCCUGGUAGUCCACGCCGUAAACGAUGCUAACUCGUUUUU
rnacentral:rRNA from 1 species